GGAUGUGAGGGCAAUUGGCUGUGACAUCGGUCACCUCAUUGAUCGCCUGAGUUGACUCCACUGAUCUAGCUGGCUAGUCAGGUGUUCCCAUCCCCCAUGUAUGUCCCUUCCUCACACAGAUGGGGGCCAAUCUUUGAUCAAGAUAUGAGCAGUUACACUUGCCUGCUAGAACCUCCAGACAAACUUUCAAGUGCUGAGCCACCACACCCAGCUGUUGGCACACACAUGCACACGCACACACACACACACACUUGUUCGUUUGU
rnacentral:snRNA from 1 species